rnacentral:rRNA from 1 species
AGCGAACGCUGGCGGCAGGCCUAAUACAUGCAAGUCGAACGGCCCUUCGGGGCAGUGGCGGACGGGUGAGUAACACGUGGGAACGUGCCCUUUGGUACGGAACAACUGAGGGAAACUUCAGCUAAUACCGUAUGUGCCCUUAGGGGGAAAGAUUUAUCGCCAUUGGAGCGGCCCGCGUUGGAUUAGCUAGUUGGGGGGGUAAAGGCCCACCAAGGCUACGAUCCAUAGCUGGUCUGAGAGGACGAUCAGCCACACUGGGACUGAGACACGGCCCAGACUCCUACGGGAGGCAGCAGUAGGGAAUCUUGCGCAAUGGGCGAAAGCCUGACGCAGCCAUGCCGCGUGAAUGAUGAAGGUCUUAGGAUUGUAAAAUUCUUUCACCGGGGAAGAUAAUGACGGUACCCGGAGAAGAAGCCCCGGCCAACUUCGUGCCAGCCGCCGCGGUAA